AUCUCACUAAGCGGAGGAAAAGAAAUUAACGAAGAUUGCCCUAGUAGCAGCGAGCGAAGUGGCAAAAGCUCAAUUCGAAUCCGUGUGGUUCCCACACUGAAUUGUAAUCUGAAAUCUACAGCAAAAGGAGAUCUCAAGGCAUAACUUGCUUGGAAAAGCAGGCCACAGAGGGUGAUAGUCCCGUGCAUGGCUUUGAGUGAACCGAAUGUUUUAGAUUAAAGAGUCGGGUUGUUUGGGAUUGCAGCCCUAAAUGGGAGGUAGACUUCUUCUAAAGCUAAAUAUAGAUGGGAGACCGAUAGCGCACAAGUA
rnacentral:rRNA from 1 species